CUGCGGAAGGAUCAUUAUAGAAAAUGACGUGAACUCUUAACGGAGUUCUCUCAAAGUGUUGGAGGGGAAGGCCUGCGCUUAAUUGCGCGGCUGUUUUUAAUCUCCUCCGCCUUUGAUACACACAUUGGAGUUUCUACUUUUUUGUUCUCUUUGGGAGGGUUCUGCUCUCCCAGAGGUAAACACAAACAAUCUUUUAUUAUACUAUUAACACAGUCAAAUGAAUUUUAAAAACAAAAUAUUCAAAACUUUCAACAACGGAUCUCUUGGUUCUCGCAUCGAUGAAGAACGCAGCGAACUGCGAUACGUAAUGUGAAUUGCAGAAUUCCGUGAAUCAUCGAAUCUUUGAACGCACAUUGCGCCCCUUGGUAUUCCGGGGGGCAUGCCUGUUUGAGCGUCAUUUCCCUCUCAAACUUUACGUUUGGUAGUGAGCGAUACUCUACUCUGGAGUUUGCUUGAAAAUGGGAGGCCAUAGGCGAAGCAUUGCUUUCCAAUCCUGCGGCCCUCUGCUUACUUCCCCUUGUGGGUUGUGGCAGGGGAAAGCGGGAGGCGCCUUGCCACGAUAGUCGUAUUAGGUUUUACCGACUCGGCGAAAGUGAAGAGGUUUCUUUUUUUUUUAUUCUAAGGUAAGCCGUCUGGCUAGACAAAAUUCUCAAAGUUUGACCUCAAAUCAGGUAGGAUUACCCGCUG
rnacentral:misc_RNA from 1 species